rfam:Daphnia pulex DAPPTscaffold_7122_Cont17179, whole genome shotgun sequence.
GGCCUGUUAGCUCAGUUGGUUAGAGCGCCGUGCUAAUAACGCUGAGGUCAUGAAUUCGAUCCUCUUACGGGCCA